AUUGAACGCUGGCGGAAUGCUUAACACAUGCAAGUCGAGCGGGGUGAUGGUGCUUGCACUAUCACUUAGCGGCGGACGGGUGAGUAAUGCUUAGGAAUCUGCCUAUUAGUGGGGGACAACAUCUCGAAAGGGAUGCUAAUACCGCAUACGUCCUACGAGAGAAAGCAGGGGAUCACUUGUGACCUUGCGCUAAUAGAUGAGCCUAAGUCGGAUUAGCUAGUUGGUGGGGUAAAGGCCUACCAAGGCGACGAGCUGUAGCGGGUCUGAGAGGAUGAUCCGCCACACUGGGACUGAGACACGGCCCAGACUCCUACGGGAGGCAGCAGUGGGGAAUAUUGGACAUUGGGGGGAACCCUGAUCCAGCCAUGCCGCGUGUGUGAAGAAGGCCUUAUGGUUGUAAAGCACUUUAAGCGAGGAGGAGGCUCUUUUGGUUAAUACCCAAGAUGAGUGGACGUUACUCGCAGAAUAAGCACCGGCUAACUCUGUGCCAGCAGCCGCCGUAA
rnacentral:rRNA from 1 species